rnacentral:lncRNA from 1 species
CUGUAUUUUUUUUUUUCAAGUCUGAGGAUAUAACUCGAUGUGAAGGCCCUGAGGAAAUUCCCUCCUCACCAUUUCCUGCUUCUUCUGGACUCAAGAAUCAUCCACUGUAUUGUCACUGGAACUCUGGAGGGUAUCACAAACAAAAGUAACUUCCCUGAGCUUCUCUGGUUUGCCAGUCAGAGGUGGAGGAAAGACUGGAUCACAGAUCUCCCAAGUGCAUACAAGCAGAAGAAGAAGCCACAUGAUACCAUGGACAGAUCCAUGACUGCGUUCAAGCUCCCCUACAUGGAGAUAUCUUUCUGCUGAGGCAAAUCCUUCAAUUUUUCUCACUCUCAGUUUCCCACCUAUAAAAGUGAGCAUGUGCUGGCCUGUAGCACACACCUGUAAUCCCAGAUACUCAGGAGGCUGAGGCAGGAGAUUUGCAAGUUGGAGGCCAGUUUGGGCAACUUAUAACCUGCCUCAAAAGUAAAACAGAAAAAAAUAAAAAAUAAAAAGGACUGGUCAUGUAGCUCAGUGGUAGAGUUCUUGCCUAGCAUACUUGAGGCCCUGGGUUUGACCUUCGGUACCAACAAAGUCAUGUAAAUGUAGAAAAUAGUUUAUUUAGUUAACUUUUGCAUAAGACAGCUAGUUAGGGGAAAGUCCUGAGAUAGAGUUGGAUGACCAGCCAUUUGAUAAGAAUUAAGAAUAGACAGUGAACUAGAACUUUGGACCAAAAAUGAACUUCCUCAGCCAAUAUGGGACACAGCCCACUCCCUGCUAAAGGAAGGUGCAGCCCCACCCUACUAAGCUCCUGAAUUAUGAGGAACUGAAAUAUAAUGCUCUUUCUCAGGCAGCAAGCAAUGCAGCC